GUCACAUGUUUAGUAUUGACAGUAGAUACUCUGUAUAAAAUCAAUAAAGGUUGUGUCUACUUUUGACUCUACUGUAUUACUGUGAGAGCUUUUAUUUUGACUCAAAAAAACCGUUUAUAAGGUGAAAAGAUACAGAAAAUUCAGCAAGUGGCAGAAGUGACUUUCGAUGAUAAUGCAAACAACCAAGAGGGACCUUCGGAGCAGAGAACAGAAGCGAUUCUCGAGACGGAGAGUAACAAUGAAUUCAACGUCAAAUAUGUCGAAAAGGAUCCAAUGAUUUUGGGGUCACUGUUAACAUCAAAUUUCGUUGAAGGAGAUUGCUUACGAGUUGAUGACUUAUCACCUGACGUUAGUGAAGAUAGCAAUGAUUUGCAUCAGGCUCCAUGUUUGUCCGAGGAAGAUAGUGGUGACAGUUUACGCGUUGAAGAAGAUGCUGAUAAUACACACCGAGUUGAGGAGUGCGAUGUUGAAUUCGAGAAUGAUUUUGUAGUUGUUGACCAGGCGAUGGGUGAGCGGAUCCUCAAGUCGCUUGUUGAACCAGGAAGGGGGGAAUUGAACGACGACUAUAAAGAUAUUAUGCGGUUGGUUAAGGCUGAAAAACCCCACUCAAGUACAUGUACAAGAUCAUUAUUGAUCCUCUAAGCGGCUGUAAUACUAGCAAGGAGCUAGAGUUGAUUGACCGAUUGUGUGAUGUUGAUAUCAAAGUAAGUUCCGACGUGCUGUCUUCUCCAGCCAUAUUGUGUGGAGGGGGAGGGCUCAGUGCCGAUGAUGAAACGACUUCGUCCAAUGCAUCGGAAGAGAAAGGCUCCAAAAAAGUGGCAAUCGCCCACUCUGCAUCUGCUGUGGCCAGUAACGAGGUCAUUGGGGAUCCUGUCCUACAGAAAUGUCGGGUUAAAACUCCACGCUGCACCCGUCCAAAACGCACUGACAAAUGCCCAAAGCAAUGGCAGGAUUACCUCUGGUUCUCUGAUGAUAAGGAAAGUUUGCCUCCAUACAUCUCUGUGUUCCCCUCCUAUUGUGGCUCCCCUGUGCAAGUGUCGUCUGGUCCACCACUGUCUGUCAUUGAAUGUAACCCAGGUUUGCCUCCUGAGGGUGCUUUGGCUUGCUUCCCUCCUCCCAUGAAGUAUUCGGUAGAGUAUUGUGAGAGGGUGGUGUGCUAGCUACCUGUACAUUGUAGUGAGAACAAAACGUUUGACAUUUUGUACAUAGACACUUUGUACAUAGAUUUUUGUACUGAUAAUUAUAACUAAUGAUGUGGCUGUGCACUUGUAUUAUAGCUUAUCUGUGUUUUUUGUACUGUUUACUAGAACUCAAUUAACUAUUACCAAUGUUUUCCUGUUCAAUUAGAUUACGACUAUACCUCUGCUAUAGUUAGUUUACUAUUAUAGGAUACGUCCUCAUACUGUGUAGUAAUCUUAGGUCAUAUGACUUAAAUAAUUGCAAGGUGUAUAAAAGAUUCACUGUAGUAUCUCAAUUCUCUUUUUAUCCUUUUUUCUGUUGACUUUACUGUUCACAGAUUAGUUUCACUUACUAGAGUAUGCUUUCUACUAGCUCCCCCAGUUUAUGCUUACUGAAAGAAUUGUCCUUUUGGAUUAUAUUCCUCAAGUUGCUCGGCUAGUGCUACGUACAUAGUUAAGUUGUAGAGAAAAAGUUGCCCUAUAAUUAAUAGAAAGUAGGUAAAGCUUACGUUAAUUAAGAGAGUUGGUAUGUGUGAAGAAGUUACCGCAGCAUUUCCCAGACGUCACGCCAUCUCCCCAUCAAAUGAUGAAUCCGAGAAUGACACAGCUCACGAGGAGGUAUCACAACCACCUACACGAUAUCAAGAGCGAUAUCAAGGGCAUACACAAUUUCAAGAAACCG